rnacentral:rRNA from 1 species
AUUGAACGCUGGCGGCAUGCUUUACACAUGCAAGUCGAACGGUAACAGGUCUUCGGAUGCUGACGAGUGGCGAACGGGUGAGUAAUAUAUCGGAACGUGCCCAGUCGUGGGGGAUAACGUAGCGAAAGUUACGCUAAUACCGCAUACGAUCUAAGGAUGAAAGCGGGGGAUCGCAAGACCUCGCGCGAUUGGAGCGGCCGAUAUCAGAUUAGCUAGUUGGUAGGGUAAAGGCCUACCAAGGCGACGAUCCGUAGCGGGUCUGAGAGGAUGAUCCGCCACACUGGGACUGAGACACGGCCCAGACUCCUACGGGAGGCAGCAGUGGGGAAUUUUGGACAAUGGGCGCAAGCCUGAUCCAGCCAUGCCGCGUGAGUGAAGAAGGCCUC